UACGUAGGGUGCAAGCGUUGUCCGGAAUUAUUGGGCGUUAAGAGCUCGUAGGCGGUUUGUUGCGUCGUCUGUGAAAUCCCGAGGCUCAACCUCGGGUCUGCAGUCGAUACGAGCAAACUAGAGUGUUGCAGGGGAGACUGGAAUUCCUGGUGUAGCGGUGAAAUGCGCAGAUAUCAGGAGGAACACCGGUGGCGAAGGCGGGUCUCUGGGCAACAACUGACGCUGAGGAGCGAAAGCGUGGGGAGCGAACAGG
rnacentral:rRNA from 1 species